GGAUUAGAUACCCUGGUAGUCCACGCCGUAAACGAUGUCUACUAGUCGUCGGGAGUCUUGUAUUCUUGGUGACGAAGCUAACGCGAUAAGUAGACCGCCUGGGGAGUACGGCCGCAAGGUUAAAACUCAAAUGAAUUGACGGGGGCCCGCACAAGCGGUGGAGCAUGUGGUUUAAUUCGAAGCAACGCGAAGAACCUUACCUGGCCUUGACAUCCUGCGAACUUUCUAGAGAUAGAUUGGUGCCUUCGGGAACGCAGUGACAGGUGCUGCAUGGCUGUCGUCAGCUCGUGCCG
rnacentral:rRNA from 1 species